GUCAGGAUGGCCGAGCGGUCCAAGGCGCUGCGUUAAGGUCGCAGUCUCGAAAGAGGCGUGGGUUCGAAUCCCACUUUUGACA
rfam:Oryzias latipes DNA, contig131320 in scaffold6268, strain: Hd-rR.